rfam:Colletotrichum sublineola strain TX430BB Scaffolds0034.1, whole genome shotgun sequence.
ACAUACGACCAUACCCAUUGGAGAACUCGGGAUCCCGUCCGCUCUCCCACAGAUAAGCCAGUGAGGGCCGGAGUAGUAGUCGGGUCGGUGACGACCGGCAAAUGCCCAGUGUUAUAUGUU